rnacentral:rRNA from 1 species
UACGAAGGGGGCGAGCGUUGUUCGGAUUCAUUGGGCGUAAAGGGUGCGUAGGCGGCGCGGUAAGUCGGGUGUGAAAUCUUGGAGCUUAACUCCGAAACUGCAUUCGAUACUGCCGUGCUUGAGGACUGGAGAGGAGACUGGAAUUUACGGUGUAGCGGUGAAAUGCGUAGAUAUCGUAAGGAAGACCAGUGGCGAAGGCGGGUCUCUGGACAGUUCCUGACGCUGAGGCACGAAGGCCAGGGGAGCGAACGGGG